rnacentral:tRNA from 1 species
UCCCUGGUGGCUCAGAGGGUAAAGCGUCUGCCUACAAUGCGGGAUACCCGGGUUCAAUCCCUGGGUGGGGAA